rnacentral:rRNA from 1 species
UACGUAGGGUGCGAGCGUUGUCCGGAAUUACUGGGCGUAAAGCGUGUGUAGGCGGCCAUAUAAGUCGGAUGUGAAAGCCCUGGGCUCAACCCAGGAAGUGCACUCGAUACUGUAUGGCUUGAGUACUGGAGAGGUUGGUGGAAUUCCUGGUGUAGCGGUGAAAUGCGUAGAUAUCAGGAGGAACACCGGUGGCGAAGGCGGCCCUCUGGACGGAUACUGACGCUGAGGCGCGAAAGCGUGGGGAUCAAACAGG